CGUGCCUGGCAGCGGGCCGGACAUGGCGGCAGGCAGCGGCGCCGAGCCCCCCGGGCCGCCGAGCCCCCCGGGCCGCCGGGACCUCGCGAGCGGGGCCGGAACGGCCUCUCGCAGAAAGAUGCCUUGAAGUAGAGGAGCCUGGUUUCCAGUCACAGGGCUGCGAGGUCACUCUCUGGAGAUGGCUCUAAUGUCAAGGUAGAGCUACCACAUACUGAUUGUCAACCAGUUGAUGUUACAGCUCUUUGGGUCCCAUGGAAGGCAGUGAGACAGCAAGAGCAAGACAUAUUUCUGGGUGUUUGUGCUGAAAACAUCUUGUCUGAGGAAGAAGGGAUUGGGUGAAAUCAAUGUGUGAGCUUGGGGAGGAGUGUUUGUAAAUUCGAUGUGUUGUCUGCCUGGAGAUGUUAAGCAAUGGUAACAGUUUCAGUGUUUUUGUUACACAUACAUUAAAACUCUCAAAAAACACACCAACUGGGUCUGAUUUUGUCAGUUGACUGCAUUAAGGAAUGACUUCCCUUUAAUAAACAUGCUGAUCAAAUAGAUGUAUACACAGCAGUAUGAUUACUGCAGAUAAUGCAACUGGGGUUUAGUUGUGUAAGCAUUCUGUCUGGUGUUUGGCAAUUUACUUGCUUUGAACAGUUUAAACAAGUGAUGCUAAUACUGCUGCUGUAAUUACUGGAGAGAUUAGACCUUAAAUACCCCUAAUUGCAAAAACAAAUGUAGUUAUUUCGGUAGCUUGUCUCCAGACUUGCUAUGUCUUCAUUACUUUGCUGCUACUGUGCAGCAACAGCAUUCUAGACAGUGUUGUGCAUCUCUUCUAUCAGUCAAAUGUGCGGAUCAAGAGAAAAGAGACUCAUACUUGUCAGCAUUCUUCACUAUUGCUCAUAAGAGUGGUGAAAAACCUGCUUUUGUAAUAAUAACUCUUGCAAGAUUGGUCUACAAAGGGGGUUGAUAAGAUAAAAGGUUUGGAGGGGGGAUCUUGAUUAAAAUGGAGGUGAUGGAAUGAGAAAAGCAGCAUCCAAGGCUGAAACUUCCAAUUAAAUUGUGUCAAUAUACUUGGCAUGCUGUAACACAUCAGCACUCUAUACUUGAAGGAGAGAGGUGUAAUGCCAGAUUUGAAGAAACCUGAAGAGAUUGAGUGUGGCCGCUAGUAGAAACUGGCAUAGUGCAAGAUGUUGCUGAUUUUGCCCACUUGGUGUCACCAAAUGGAAGUUUUUUUAGCGGGGACUUCUGUUUGUGCAUCUUGGAAAAGGUAAACAUUAAAACUAAUUCCUGGUGA